rnacentral:lncRNA from 1 species
UCCGGGUCGAGUCCGAUACCAAUAGUAUAUUCACCUGUUACCUAUUACCUUAUCUGUACGUUCGCAUCUGACAGGCGCACCAACAAACGGUGUAUUCAGGAUUAAUAUGCUAUAUACACGGGUCAUAAUCACAGGGUUGACACUACUAAAUUGUCGAAUUGUUACCUAUUGUAGUAUUUUAAUCAGUAAGACUUUCUAAGAUAACAAUACGAAUACUAAAAAUCUGGACUAAAAAUAAGGCGUAUAGGUACAGUUUUCAAUUUGUUAGCGGGCAUGACGUAAAACAGCGAAUCAAAGAAUCAACUUUAUUUAUAACUAAUAUAGGAC